rnacentral:rRNA from 1 species
AUUGAACGCUGGCGGCAGGCCUAACACAUGCAAGUCGAGCGAGCGGCGGACGGGUGAGUAAUGUCUGGGAAACUGCCUGAUGGAGGGGGAUAACUACUGGAAACGGUAGCUAAUACCGCAUAACACCAGAUGUGCCCAGAUGGGAUUAGCUAGUAGGUGGGGUAAUGGCUCACCUAGGCGACGAUCCCUAGCUGGUCUGAGAGGAUGACCAGGCAAACUGGAACUGAGAAACGGUCAAGACGCCGACGGGGGGCAGAAGUGGGGAAUAUUGGACAAUGGGCGAAAGCCUGAUGCAGCCAUGCCGCGGGUAUGAAGAAGGCCUUCGGGUUGUAAAGUACUUUCAGAGGGGAGGCGUUACCCGCAGAAAAAGCACCGGCUAACUCCGUGCCAGCAGCCGCGGUAAUAC